GCCCUAGAUAGUAUCUAAGGUGUAACCUGCCCAGUGGUUUCUAAUACAAGAAAUAAAAAUUCUAUAAAGAAACUAAAAGGACGCGGUAACCUUGACCGUGGUAAUGUAGCAUAAUCACUCGCCAUUUAAUUGGUGGAUAGUAUGAAUGGUUGAACGAAUAUUCCGCUGUCUUAGAAAGAAGCACAAGAAAUUGAAAUAAUAGUUAAGAUGCUAUUUUUAACUGUAAGACGAAAAGACCCUAUAGAGCUUAACUAUAAUCUUCUUAUUAUAAAAGAAAAUAAAUUCUAUAUUUAAGAAGAUUGGUAGUUUAGUUGGGGCGACUGUCUUUUAUAACAAACAAAGACAAGCAAUGUUAAUAAAAAACUUAUUGUAUAACUAAAAUGUUUAACAAUUAUAAAAAUAGGCUAUAAUGACCCGUUAUUACUCUAUAAAAAGAAUAACGAUCAAUUAAUAAAAGCUACCUUAGGGAUAACAGGAUAAUUUCAUUUUAGAGUUCCUAUCGAAAAUGAAGUUUGUCACCUCUAUGUUGAAUUAAGAUAUCCUGAUAAUGCAGCAGUUAUCAAAGGUAGGUCUGUUCGACCUUUAAAAUCUU
rnacentral:rRNA from 1 species